rnacentral:ncRNA from 1 species
GCCGAUCUAACGGGGUGCCAGGCAGGUCUGCCUGAGCUGAGAGGCCAAGCCAACCCGCAGAACCUGAUCCGGAUCAUGCCGGCGGAGGGAUUAGACUGUUCAAGCAG